rnacentral:rRNA from 1 species
GACGAACGCUGGCGGCGUGCCUAAUACAUGCAAGUAGAACGCUGAAGAGAGGAGCUUGCUCUUCUUGGAUGAGUUGCGAACGGGUGAGUAACGCGUAGGUAACCUGCCUUGUAGCGGGGGAUAACUAUUGGAAACGAUAGCUAAUACCGCAUAACAAUGGAUGACACAUGUCAUUUUUUUGAAAGGGGCAAUUGCUCCACUACAAGAUGGACCUGCGUUGUAUUAGCUAGUAGGUGAGGUAACGGCUCACCUAGGCGACGAUACAUAGCCGACCUGAGAGGGUGAUCGGCCACACUGGGACUGAGACACGGCCCAGACUCCUACGGGAGGCAGCAGUAGGGAAUCUUCGGCAAUGGGGGCAACCCUGACCGAGCAACGCCGCGGGAGUGAAGAAGGUUUUCGGAUCGUAAAGCUCUGUUGUAAGUCAAGAACGAGUGUGAGAGUGGAAAGUUCACACUGUGACGGUAGCUUACCAGAAAGGGACGGCUAACUACGUG